rnacentral:rRNA from 1 species
UCGAGGGGCAGCGGUGGUGAAGGCUUGCCUUUACCAGCCGGCGACCGUCGCACGGGUGAGUAACACGUAUGCAACCUGCCUGCCACAGCCGGAUAAUCGGGAGAAAUUCCGUCUAAUACGGCAUAAUGCAUCGACGGGACAUCCUGUUGGUGCCAAAGGUUAAUUCCGGUGGCGGAUGGGCAUGCGUCGCAUUAGUUAGUUGGCGGUGUAACGGACCACCAAGACGACGAUGCGUAGGGGUUCUGAGAGGAAGGUCCCCCACACUGGUACUGAGACACGGACCAGACUCCUACGGGAGGCAGCAGUGAGGAAUAUUGGUCAAUGGGCGGGAGCCUGAACCAGCCAAGUCGCGUGAGGGAUGACGGCCCUAUGGGUUGUAAACCUCUUUUGCCGGGGAGCAAAGUGCCGCACGUGUGCGGUUUGGAGAGUACCCGGAGAAAAAGCAUCGGCUAACUCCGUGCCAGCAGCCGCGGUAAUACGGAGGAUGCGAGCGUUAUCCGGAUUUAUUGGGUUUAAAGGGUGCGUAGGCGGACGCUUAAGUCAGCGGUAAAAUUGCGGGGCUCAACCUCGUCGAGCCGUUGAAACUGGGUGCCUUGAGUGGGCGAGAAGUACGCGGAAUGCGUGGUGUAGCGGUGAAAUGCAUAGAUAUCACGCAGAACUCCGAUUGCGAAGGCAGCGCACCGGCGCCCAACUGACGCUGAAGCACGAAGGCGUGGGUAUCGAACAGGAUUAGAUACCCUGGUAGUCCACGCAGUAAACGAUGAAUGCUAGUUGUCCGGGGCGAUUGAGUUCUGGGUGACACAGCGAAAGCGUUAAGCAU